rnacentral:rRNA from 1 species
UACGUAGGGUGCGAGCGUUGUCCGGAAUUACUGGGCGUAAAGAGCUCGUAGGUGGUUUGUCGCGUUGUCCGUGAAAACUCACAACUCAAUUGUGGGCGUGCGGGCGAUACGGGCAGACUGGAGUACUGCAGGGGAGACUGGAAUUCCAGGUGUAGCGGUGAAAUGCGUAGAUAUCUGGAGGAAUACCGGUGGCGAAGGCGGCAUCCUGGACCGACAUUGACGCUGAGGAGCGAAAGCUAGGGGAGCAAACGGG